rfam:Lingula anatina scaffold974, whole genome shotgun sequence.
AAGAACAUUCAUCCCCUGAGUCCGCAGCACUCAACCUUCCUCAGCAGCAGGAAAAGAUGAUUGCUCUU